rnacentral:rRNA from 1 species
GAUGAACGCUGGCGGCGUGCCUAAUACAUGCAAGUCGAGCGAACAGACGAGGAGCUUGCUCCUCUGACGUUAGCGGAGGACGGGUGAGUAACACGUGGAUAACCUACCUAUAAGACUGGGAUAACUUCGGGAAACCGGAGCUAAUACAGGAUAAUAUAUUGAACCGCAUGGUUCAAUAGUGAAAGACGGUUUUGCUGUCACUUAUAGAUGGAUCCGCGCCGCAUUAGCUAGUUGGUAAGGUAACGGCUUACGAAGGCAAGGAUGCGUAGCCGAGCUUAGAGGGGGGUCGGCCACCCUGGAACUGAACCACGGUCCAGACUCCUACGGGAGGCAGCAGUAGGGAAUCUUCCGCAAUAGGCGGAAACCUUGCGGAGCAACGCCGCGUGAGUGAUGAAAGUCUUCGGAUCGUAAAACUCUGUUAUUAGGGAAGAACAAAUGUGUAAGUAACUAUGCACGUCUUGACGGUACCUAAUCAGAAAGCCACGGCUAACUACGUG